rnacentral:rRNA from 1 species
GACGUAGGGGGCCAGCGUUGUUCGGAAUUACUGGGUGUAAAGGGUUCGUAGGCGGUGUGGCAAGUCGGGAGUGAAAUCUCUGGGCUCAACUCAGAGACUGCUUCCGAAACUGCUGUGCUGGAGUGUGGGAGAGGCGCGUGGAAUUGCAGGUGUAGCGGUGAAAUGCGUAGAUAUCGGGAGGAACACCUGUGGCGAAAGCGGCUCACUGGACCACAACUGACGCUGAGGCGCGAAAGCUAGGGGAGCAAACAGG